UUGCACAUCUAAGAUGAUCUGUGUCUUAAAUGUCCAUUACAGAGGGGUAAAUAAUUUUCUCUUUCACACCAGGGCAUUCUUGUCAUGUUGUCUUGGAUCCUGUCUAGAGGAACACAC